rnacentral:rRNA from 1 species
UACGUAGGGUGCGAGCGUUGUCCGGAAUUAUUGGGCGUAAAGGGCUCGUAGGCGGUUUGUCGCGUCGGGAGUGAAAACACCGGGCUUAACUCGGUGCUUGCUUUCGAUACGGGCAGACUAGAGGCAUGCAGGGGAGAACGGAAUUCCUGGUGUAGCGGUGGAAUGCGCAGAUAUCAGGAGGAACACCGGUGGCGAAGGCGGGUCUCUGGGCAGUAAUUGACGCUGAGGAGCGAAAGCAUGGGGAGCGAACAGG